GAUGAACGCUGGCGGCGUGCCUAAUACAUGCAAGUCGAACGAAACUUCUUUAUCACCGAGUGCUUGCACUCACCGAUAAAGAGUUGAGUGGCGAACGGGUGAGUAACACGUGGGCAACCUGCCCAAAAGAGGGGGAUAACACUUGGAAACAGGUGCUAAUACCGCAUAACCAUAGUUACCGCAUGGUAACUAUGUAAAAGGUGGCUAUACUACCGCUUUUGGAUGGGCCCGCGGCGCAUUAGCUAGUUGGUAGGGUAAAGGCUUACCAAGGCAAUGAUGCGUAGCCGAAUUGAGAGGUUGAUCGGCCACAUUGGGACUGAGACACGGCCCAAACUCCUACGGGAGGCAGCAGUAGGGAAUCUUCCACAAUGGGCGAAAGCCUGAUGGAGCAACGCCGCGUGGGUGAAGAAGGUCGUCGGAUCGUAAAACCCUGUUGUUAGAGAAGAAAGUGCGUGAGAGUAACUGUUCACGUUUCGACGGUAUCUAACCAGAAAGCCACGGCUAACUACGUGC
rnacentral:rRNA from 1 species